rnacentral:rRNA from 1 species
GACGGAGGUGCAAGUCGUUAUCCGGAAUCACUGGGCGUAAAGCGUCUGUAGGUGGUUUAAUAAGUCAACUGUUAAAUCUUGAGGCUCAACCUCAAAAUCGCAGUCGAAACUAUUAGGCUAGAGUAUAGUAGGGGUAAAGGGAAUUUCCAGUGGAGCGGUGAAAUGCGUAGAGAUUGGAAAGAACACCGAUGGCGAAGGCACUUUACUGGGCUAUUACUAACACUCAGAGACGAAAGCUAGGGUAGCAAAUGGG